UGCGUAGGCGGACUAAUAAGUCAGUGGUGAAAUCUUUCGGCUCAACCGGGAAACUGCCAUUGAUACUGUUAGUCUUGAGUUCGGUUGAGGUAGGCGGAAUGUGUAAUGUAGCGGUGAAAUGCUUAGAUAUUACACAGAACACCAAUUGCGUAGGCAGCUUACUAGACCGACAUUGACGCUGAGGCACGAAAGCGUGGGGAGCGAACAGGAUUAGAUACCCUGGUAGUCC
rnacentral:rRNA from 1 species